rnacentral:rRNA from 1 species
AGUGAACGCUGGCGGUAGGCCUAACACAUGCAAGUCGAACGGCAGCACAGUAAGAGCUUGCUCUUACGGGUGGCGAGUGGCGGACGGGUGAGGAAUACAUCGGAAUCUACUUUUUCGUGGGGGAUUACGUAGGGAAACUUACGCUAAUACCGCAUACUAUCUACGGGUGAAAGCAGGGGUUCUUCGCACCUUGCGUGUCUGAUAUAGCUGAUGUCGGAUUAGCUAGUUGGCGGGGUAAAGGCCCACCAAGGCAACGAUCCGUAGCCGGUCUGAGAGGAUGAUCAGCCACACUGGAACUGAGACACGGUCCAGACUCCUACGGGAGGCAGCAGUGGGGAAUAUUGGACAAAGGGCGAAAGCCUGAUCCAGCAAUACCGCGUGGGUGAAGAAGGUCUUCGGGUUGUAAAGCCCUUUUGUUGGGAAAGAAAAGCAGCAGGUUAAUCCGCCGCUGUUCUGACGGUACCCAAAGAAUAAGCACCGGCUAACUUCGUG